rnacentral:rRNA from 1 species
GCUUACGGCCAUACCAACUUAGGCACGCCCGAUCUCGUCUGAUCUCGGAAGCUAAGCAGGGUCGGGCCUGGUUAGUACUUGGAUGGGUGACCGCCUGGGAACACCAGGUGCUGCAAGCA